UUUUCAGGCGGAGCUUUGAUGCUUACAACAAUGGAUGGGGAGGAUUUCACUCGUCCUGUGAAUUCAGAUGCAGUCAAGAGAUACUUUGCCUAAAAAAAGAGUAUAUGCAAAUGAAAAACAGAAUAGCUCGCUAAGUUGAAAACCCGAAAGGGCGGCUUAGGCAAAAAUGAGCGUCUCGGUGGAGAACCCGCAAGGGUCAUCCAGGCAAAAAUUAGAGACUUGAA
rnacentral:lncRNA from 1 species